UUAUCCAUCGUGGACGCUUCGAGCUAGUACUACCAUUAUUCCACUGAACUGAGCUCCGUGAGUGAGAGAGAUAGAGAGUUCCAGAAAGUGAGGUCCACCGUCUGGCGGCGUCGUGGUCGUGGCGAGCGACAGAGGGAGCAGCCGCGGCUGCCGCUGCCUGACUCCGGCGCGCCCAAGCCCCGGCCAAGGCUGGAGCAGCUGCUCUGUCAUGCCGCCGUUCCCCUCCUGGACCGACCAGAUCCCUUGGAGAAGGUGGGGAACUGCAGGGCAUGCGGCCGGCUGGGUGCAGCACUGCUUCGCCGGGAUGCCGCAAGAGGCCGUGCAGGCGGACAUCAAGACGGGAGCCCGAUGCACACUCGCCGCACAGAGAUUCAAGACACAACAACAAACCUAUGGAUGAAGUCGCAGGAGCUCCUUCCAUGCCGAAGAACACCGUAGAUGCUGGUCCACGUGAGAGAUCAAUUCUCUAUCGAUCCUGAUCUAUUCAUGUGUGAUCCACAAUGGAGUAGAUAGAUAGGAGAAAGGAUGUUGGAGAUUUUGGCGGCAAUCUGUUGAUACGCGCGAGAAAGAAAGGCAGUUUUACUGAUUUUCUGUAAUUAGAGAGAUACAGGCUGGUUGUUUUAGUGAUGGGGUCCACCAGGCCACGUGUUGGCCGCUGGUUGGCCCUGCACGAUAGUGCGUGCAGGGAUCCCAACAGGAGAGCCCGACCCUGCAGCCGGCCUUGAUUAAUGAUUUCAUGCAUGCAUGCAAACUAAAAGACAAAACAGAUAAUGUCA